rnacentral:rRNA from 1 species
AUUGAACGCUGGCGGCAGGCUUAACACAUGCAAGUCGAGCGGAGAUGAGGUGCUUGCACCUUAUCUUAGCGGCGGACGGGUGAGUAAUGCUUAGGAAUCUGCCUAUUAGUGGGGGACAACAUUCCGAAAGGGAUGCUAAUACCGCAUACGUCCUACGGGAGAAAGCAGGGGAUCUUCGGACCCUGCGCUAAUAGAUGAGCCUAAGUCGGAUUAGCUAGUUGGUGGGGUAAAGGCCUACCAAGGCGACGAUCUGUAGCGGGUCUGAGAGGAUGAUCCGCCACACUGGGACUGAGACACGGCCCAGACUCCUACGGGAGGCAGCAGUGGGGAAUAUUGGACAAUGGGGGGAACCCUGAUCCAGCCAUGCCGCGUGUGUGAAGAAGGCCUUAUGGUUGUAAAGCACUUUAAGCGAGGAGGAGGCUACUGAGACUAAUACUCUUGGAUAGUGGACGUUACUCGCAGAAUAAGCACCGGCUAACUCUGUGCCAGCAGCCGCCGUAAAAC